rnacentral:rRNA from 1 species
GAUGAACGCUGGCGGCGUGCCUAAUACAUGCAAGUCGAGCGAACAGACGAGGAGCUUGCUCCUCUGACGUUAGCGGCGGACGGGUGAGUAACACGUGGAUAACCUACCUAUAAGACUGGGAUAACUUCGUGAAACCGGAGCUAAUACCGGAUAAUAUAUUGAACCGCAUGGUUCAAUAGUGAAAGACGGUUUUGCUGUCACUUAUAGAUGGAUCCGCGCCGCAUUAGGUAGUUGGUAAGGUAACGGCUUACCAAGGCAACGAUGCGUAGCCGACCUGAGAGGGUGAUCAGCCACACUGGAACUGAGACACGGUCCAGACUCCUACGGGAGGCAGCAGUAGGGAAUCUUCCGCAAUGGGCGAAAGCCUGACGCAGCAACGCCGCGUGAGUGAUGAAGGUCUUCGGAUCGUAAAACUCUGUUAUUAGGGAAGAACAAAUGUGUAAGUAACUAUGCACCUCUUGACGGUACCUAAUCAGAAAGCCCCGGCUAACUACGUG